rnacentral:rRNA from 1 species
CGUAGGGUGCGAGCGUUAAUCGGAAUUACUGGGCGUAAAGCGUGCGCAGGCGGUUUUGUAAGACAGAUGUGAAAUCCCCGGGCUCAACCUGGGACCUGCAUUUGUGACUGCAAGGCUAGAGUACGGUAGAGGGGAUGGAAUUCCGCGUGUAGCAGUGAAAUGCGUAGAUAUGCGGAGGAGCACCGAUGGCGAAGGCAAUCCCCUGGACCUGUACUGACGCUCAUGCACGAAAGCGUGGGGAGCAAACAGGAUUAGAUACCCUGGUAGUCCACGCCCUAAACGAUGUCAACUGGUUGUUGGGUCUUUACUGACUCAGUAACGAAGCUAACGCGUGAAGUUGACCGCCUGGGGAUACGGCCGCAAGGUUG